AUGAAGGCGUCCAGCCUGCGCGCCGUGCAGUAUAGCGGCUACGGUGGCGGUGCCGCGGCCCUUAAGUACGUGGAUAUCCCAGUUCCUUCACCGAAGAAAGAUGAAGUUCUCAUAAAAGUUGAAGCAGCAAGCAUAAAUCCAGCGGAUUGGAAGAUCCAGAAAGGGAUGCUCCAUCCUUUUAUUCCUAAAUUCCCGUUUAUUCCAGUAACCGACGUUGCUGGAGAGAUUGUUGAGGUUGGUUCUGCGGUUCAAGAGUUGAAAGUUGGUGACAAAGUUGUGUCCAAAUUAGUCUUUUGGAAAGCUGGUGGCCUCGCCGAGUAUGUUGCAGCAUCCGAGAGCAUCACCGUCACCCAACCCACCGGAGUAUCCGCUGCCGAUGCCGCAGGGCUGCCCAUCGCCGGCCUCACUGCUCUGCAGGCCCUGAAGGCCAUUGGCACGAAGUUCGACGGCACAUGCAGCGGCAGCAACAUCCUGAUCACCGCGGCAUCAGGCGGCAUCGGCACGUACGCCGUCCAGCUCGCCAAGCUCGGGAACCACAACGUCACCGCCACCUGCGGUGCCCGCAACCUGGAGGCCGUCAUGAACAUCGGCGCCGACGAGGUGCUUGACUACAAGACCCCGGAAGGCGUGGCACUGAGCAAAUCUUCGGGCAAGAAGUACGACUACAUCGUGAACACCACGGCUGAUGGCAAGUGGUCGGCCUUCAAGCCGGCCCUCAACUGCCCUGGCAGAGUCGUCGAUAUAGCUUCCAACUUUUGGAACUUUGUCGCAUCAAUCCUGACGUUUUUCUCCAACAAGAAGCUGUCCAUCGUGAUCGAAUCGAUGGGGAAGGAGGACCUGAGGUUUCUGCUUGAGCUGGUGAAGGAAGGGAAGCUCAAGACGGUUGUCGACUCACGCCAUCCAUUCGAGAAGGCAGCGGACGCGUGGGAGAAGAGCAUGAGCGGGCACGCCACAGGAAAGGUCAUAGUUGUGAUGUGA
rnacentral:rRNA from 1 species